GCCAGAAUGGUGUUGUGGUUUGAGCAUUCGACUAUGACUUUGGAGACCAGGGUUCGAAUCCCGGCUCAGCCA